AAUCAACGCUGGCGGCGCGCUUAACACAUGCAAGUCGCACGAGAAAGUGGAGCAAUCCAUGAGUAAAGUGGCGUACGGGUGAGUAACACGUGGAUCAUCUACCUCUUGGUGGGGAAUAACCUUGGGAAACCGGGGCUAAUACCGCAUAAGCCUGGAAAGGGAAAGCAGCAAUGCGCCGAGAGAGGAGUCCGCGGCCGAUUAGCUAGUUGGUAGGGUAAUGGCCUACCAAGGCAAUGAUCGGUAGCCGGCCUGAGAGGGCACACGGCCACACUGGCACUGAAACACGGGCCAGACUCCUACGGGAGGCAGCAGUGGGGAAUCUUGCACAAUGGGGGAAACCCUGAUGCAGCGACGCCGCGUGAGCGAUGAAGCCCUUC
rnacentral:rRNA from 1 species